ACACCGUUGGUGAAGUGGUUAUCAUGCUUGUCCUCGAAAUUGGUGGUAUUAUUAGACAGCAAGCGGCUGGGGUUCGAUUCCCGAACGGCGUA